GCACUGCCCGGUAGCUAAAUGCGGAAGAGAUAAGUGCUGAAAGCAUCUAAGCACGAAACUUGCCCCGAGAUGAGUUCUCCCUGAGACUUAGAGUCUCCUGAAGGAACGUUGAAGACGACGACGUUGAUAGGCCGGGUGUGUAAGCGCAGCGAUGCGUUGAGCUAACCGGUACUAAUGAACCGUGAGGCUUAACCUU
rnacentral:rRNA from 1 species